UGAAUCAUUCGCUCUGAAGUAAGCCAGCUGCUGUGACAUGAACAGCCCCAUGGAGAGGCCCACAGAGCAAGGAACUGAGGCCUCUUGCCAACAGCCCAGUGAGUGAGCUUAGAGGCAGAUGAUCCAAACCAAGUCAAUUCCGCAGAGACUGACAAUCCAGCCAAAGGUUUCACUGAAACCUCAUGAGUGACCUUGAGCCAGAAACAGCCAGCUAAGCCACUCUUGGAUUCCAGACCUUCAAAAACUAUGAGAGUCUGCCACUUUCUCUUCAGUGUGCCUGGGCCCUCAGCUAUUGGGGAUGAGAAGGGAUGCGGAGUGGGAGGCAGUCCACAUGUCUGUUCCAACAGAGCUCAGAGGCUUUGCAACACAGAUUAGAAAGCGGGGGAGGGGGAGCCUCGAGAGUCCCUUGACAGG